GGAUGUGAGGGCGAUCUGGCUGCGACAUCUGUCACCCCAUUGAUCGCCAGGGUUGAUUCGGCUGAUCUGGCUGGCUAGGCGGGUGUCCCCUUCCUCCCUCACCGCUCCAUGUGCGUCCCUCCCGAAGCUGCGCGCUCGGUCGAAGAGGACGACCACCCCCGAUAGAGGAGGACCGGUCUUCGGUCAAGGGUAUACGAGUAGCUGCGCUCCCCUGCUAGAACCUCCAAACAAGCUCUCAAGGUCCAUUUGUAGGAGAACGUAGGGUAGUCAAGCUUCCAAGACUCCAGACACAUCCAAAUGAGGCGCUGCAUGUGGCAGUCUGCCUUUCUUU
ensembl:misc_RNA 7SK 7SK RNA